CCUACCGUGGACAGACUUUCCACCGUUUCCCCAAAGAGCAGGCACUUCGCCGUGGAUGUAUAAAUCACAUCAAGAGGGGUCCUGGUCCAUAUUUCAAGAUCAACGCUGAGACCAAGGUUUGCUCUGAGCACUUUGAGAAGCAGUGUUUUGUAAAGACCACCCGUGUUAUCACAAAGCUUAUAAAGGAUGCUGUGCCAACUUUCGCCUGGACUUCAGAGAGGCCAAAGAGGAGAAUCAUCAUUCGCAGACCGAGAGAUGAUGAACCAUUCCUGAAGUUGGACGCCAGAAUGCAGGAAGGUGCUGUUUAAGAGCCUAGGCGGUGGAAGAAGCACUUGCAGGUAUGCUACCGACCAGGCUCCUCAACAUCAAUCCGAGACGGAAGAUGAAACGGGAUGAAGCAGUUAGAUUGAGACAAGGCGGCCGGAAACUUUGAUGACCUCAAUGACACUGGCUAGGUGAAGGACAUCAACAAAAUGGCAUCAGGUCACCAGACAUCAGCUCAUAAUCCACAACAUCAUCAACCAUUUUGCGCCAAAAAUGAAGCCGUUCACAUACCAUGGCAUCCUAAGCAGGCAGCACUACACUACUGUGCAACAGUGAGAGAGAGCGGGCAAGGACAAGUAAAGCGGACCUACACUACAGCAAGACUUUGACACUUCUCCACGUUAGAGGCAACCAUCACCCCCACCGUUGAGCAGCGGCUAUGUGUAACCCCCAAAAGAGGAGAUGAUCCGACGAUGUGUGUGUGGUGUGUGCGUGUGUGUGUGUGAUGUAUGAUAUUGUAACACUUCAGUCCUUCUUUUAUACUAUACAGUGUAUACAUAUACAUUUGUGGGUUUGUUUAAAAACCAUAGCUGAGGUUAAGAAAUGCAUUAUGACAAAUACAUCUGAUUCAGGUGUACUGUCUUUUAUUUGCCACAAAUAAAUCACAUCCUGGAAACCUG